AUGGAAAGCAGCUGGGGUGUUGGUGGAAUCAUUUGCCAUCUCGAGUGCGAGAUCAGCUCCGUCGAGGUCACGGGACUCGGCUGCACCGGUGGUGGAGCGCGCGCGCUCUUCCUCCGGUGCCACGUCCCCGCGGGCGGCGGGAGGACGAUCCAGAUCGACAGCCAACACGCCGAAGCCGAGCGCCGCGCCGGCGACCGGUCCACAUCAACCGACGUGGUCUCGUGGCGCGACGUGGCGUCGCUGGCGUGCGACGGCUCGCCGGCGUGCGUGCGGGAGCUUGCGGACACGAGGAGCGUGGUGUUCGAGGUGCGGAGGAGGCAGAAGAAGAUCAUGGGGCGCGCCGGGUCGUCGGAGAUGCUUGGCCGCGCCGAGGUUGCAUGGAGGGACGUCGGUGACCCCGCGGUGGAGCGGCGAGUCGCGUUCGCCGUCUCCGGCCGGAGCAAAGGCGGGACAGCCCGGAACGAUCCCGCGCCAGUGAUGUCGGUUAGGAUGAGCGUGCGCGUGUCGGAGACGGCUGCGCCCGUCCGCCUGAACGUGGACUCGCAGCGGGAGACUUAUGGGUGUGAGUGGAGCGCCGGCGGGAGCGACGACGUGUACGGAGUGGCUGCGUGCGGCAUAGCAGAUGACGCGGGCGAGUAG
rnacentral:rRNA from 1 species